CAAGUCUUGUAGUGCGCAGCACGCCGAAUUGCAAAUUCGGAGCCGUCACUUGAAGUGGCCCGGACU
rnacentral:tRNA from 1 species